AGUGAACGCUGGCGGUAGGCCUAACACAUGCAAGUCGAACGGCAGCACAGUAAGAGCUUGCUCUUACGGGUGGCGAGUGGCGGACGGGUGAGGAAUACAUCGGAAUCUACUUUUUCGUGGGGGAUAACGUAGGGAAACUUACGCUAAUACCGCAUACGACCUACGGGUGAAAGCAGGGGAUCUUCGCACCUUGCGCGUUUGAAUGAGCCGAUGUCGGAUUAGAUAGUUGGCGGGGUAAAGGCCCACCAAGGCGACGAUCCGUAGCUGGUCUGAGAGGAUGAUCAGCCACACUGGAACUGAGACACGGUCCAGACUCCUACGGGAGGCAGCAGUGGGGAAUAUUGGACAAUGGGCGCAAGCCUGAUCCAGCCAUACCGCGUGGGUGAAGAAGGCCUUCGGGUUGUAAAGCCCUUUUGUUGGGAAAGAAAAGCAGCAGGUUAAUACCCCGCUGUUCUGACGGUACCCAAAGAAUAAGCACCGGCUAACUUCGUG
rnacentral:rRNA from 1 species